rnacentral:tRNA from 1 species
GGUAUAGCGCAGUUGGUUAGCGCGCCAGAUUGUGGCUCUGGAGGUCGUGGGUUCGACUCCCACUAC